rnacentral:rRNA from 1 species
ACUGACACUGAGGCUCGAAAGCGUGGGUAGCAAACAGGAUUAGAUACCCUGGUAGUCCACGCCGUAAACGAUGUCUACUAGUCGUUGGGUCCCUUGAGGACUUAGUGACGCAGCUAACGCAAUAAGUAGACCGCCUGGGGAGUACGGCCGCAAGGUUAAAACUCAAAUGAAUUGACGGGGGCCCGCACAAGCGGUGGAGCAUGUGGUUUAAUUCGAUGCAACGCGAAGAACCUUACCUGGUCUUGACAUAUCUAGAAUCCUGCAGAGAUGCGGGAGUGCCUUCGGGAAUUAGAAUACAGGUGCUGCAUGGCUGUCGUCAGCUCGUGUCGUGAGAUGUUGGGUUAAGUCCCGCAACGAGCGCAACCCUUGUCCUUAGUUACCAGCGGGUUAAGCCGGGAACUCUAAGGAUACUGCCAGUGACAAACUGGAGGAAGGCGGGGACGACGUCAAGUCAUCAUGGCCCUUACGACCAGGGCUACACACGUGCUACAAUGGUAGGUACAGAGGGCAGCUACACAGCGAUGUGAUGCGAAUCUCAAAAAGCCUAUCGUAGUCCAGAUUGGAGUCUGCAACUCGACUCCAUGAAGUAGGAAUCGCUAGUAAUUGCGGAUCAGAAUGCCGCGGUGAAUACGUUCCCGGGCCUUGUACACACCGCCCGUCACACCAUGGGAGUUGAUUGCACCAGAAGUGGAUAGCUUAACCUUCGGGGAGGCGUUCACCACGGUGUGGUUGAUGACUGGGGUGAAGUCGUAACAAGGUAACCGUA